GAAGUGUGGACGCCAGUCUGCAUGGAGCCGACCUUGAAAUACCACCCUUUAAUGUUUGAUGUUCUAACGUUGACCCGUAAUCCGGGUUGCGGACAGUGUCUGGUGGGUAGUUUGACUGGGGCGGUCUCCUCCUAAAGAGUAACGGAGGAGCACGAAGGUUGGCUAAUCCUGGUCGGACAUCAGGAGGUUAGUGCAAUGGCAUAAGCCAGCUUGACUGCGAGCGUGACGGCGCGAGCAGGUGCGAAAGCAGGUCAUAGUGAUCCGGUGGUUCUGAAUGGAAGGGCCAUCGCUCAACGGAUAAAAGGUACUCCGGGGAUAACAGGCUGAUACCGCCCAAGAGUUCAUAUCGACGGCGGUGUUUGGCACCUCGAUGUCGGCUCAUCACAUCCUGGGGCUGAAGUAGGUCCCAAGGGUAUGGCUGUUCGCCAUUUAAAGUGGUACGCGAGCUGGGUUUAGAACGUCGUGAGACAGUU
rnacentral:rRNA from 1 species